rnacentral:lncRNA from 1 species
CCAGCCAGGAUCCCCCAAAGUGUGCAGAGGGCUCAGCAGAGAACAGUAUGGGACCCCCUCACCAGGCCUGGAACACCUCCAGCCACAAAGAAGCCAAAGAUUAAACUCCUUACAGAAGUUAACUCUGCAGACUGAGAAGACGUGAACAGAGAGAGUCAAGGGGAGUGAUGACUAUUUCAGAGACAGGAAAGGACAGAAGAGAUGACCAAAGGCACCCCCAAGGGAUCAAGGCACAGAGGAAGAGGGACUUCAUCCACACAGGAGCCUGGCUCCUGCAGGCCAUGGCAUGGCUCUCGGGGCUGCCAGCAGGGCUCCCCAUAGCAUAGGUGUGCUCUGCGGUGGGCCCUUGGGCAGGGUCCUGAGGACAGUGCCAGGGCCAGGCUCCAGUGCAGCACAAUGUUGGGCAAAGGACUCCUAACACAGCCACGCUGGGGCUACUCAACCCGACAGUGGGGAGGGAAGGUGUGGGUGCUCACAAGGCAGGCAUCCAUAGAAGACGCUGCCCAGGUCCAAGUCAAAGAACUACACGUUCUCAUCCGAGCCCUCGGCACUGAAGACCUCCACCAUGGGCUGACCUCUCUCCUGACUGCCAGAUACAGCAAAGCCUGGCUUACCCAGAAAACAGCUGGGGUCUUCUGCUUAACUCAGUUCCAUCAAACUACCCAAGGGGUAACAGAUUCUGGAUGAAUUUUUUAAAGGGUCUCAAGUUAAAUGUUUCAUUCAUGAUUCACAAAAGGCACUUCAAAAUUCCACAGAGCCACAGGGUCACUGUUAGUAGGUCACCAAUCCUCCUGUACAGGACCGAUGGAGAAGCUCUAAGACAAUGGGCUAUGUGUUUCACCUGAUGGGGUCCCUGGCCAUUUGUAAAUAAAUCUCGGAUAUUAGCUAGUUUGUCAUUUAUCUUGCAGUCAAGCAUACACAAAACAGAAAGACACACAGUAUGUUUGCACUUUGAAUAAAUGAGAUUUUGCUGUA